rnacentral:misc_RNA from 1 species
AUCUUCUACACACUGUGAAGAGCGGCCCGCGUCAGCGGGGCGCGAUUGCUUCCGGUUCGCCGGGCUUUAUUUUUACAACCAAUUCUGAUUUUGUUAAUGAAAAACUUUCAACAACGGAUCUCUUGGUUCUCGCAUCGAUGAAGAACGCAGCAAAGCGCGAUAGGUAAUGCGAAUUGCAGACGUGAGUCAUUGAAUCUUUGAACGCACAUUGCGCCAGUUUACUGGCAUACUGCGUUGAGCGUCGGCCUUCCUCCACAGGUAGUGCUGCUUCUAGCAGUGAAAGGCAAUGGAAACGCACCCGUUAGCAAACCGGUGUUUACCUAUUUUUUUCGACCUCAGCG